rnacentral:tRNA from 1 species
AAGGUUUUAAGUUAAACAAACUAAUAAUCUUCAAAAUUAAACAUAAAGAAAUAUUCUUUAAACCUUA